rnacentral:rRNA from 1 species
UCCACGCCGUAAACGAUGGAUACUAGUUGUUGGGAUUUAUCUCAGUGACUAAGCGAAAGUGAUAAGUAUCCUACCUGGGGAGUACGGUCGCAAGACUGAAACUCAAAGGAAUUGACGGGGGCCCGCACAAGCGGUGGAGCAUGUGGUUUAAUUCGAUGAUACGCGAGGAACCUUACCAGGGCUUAAAUGUAGUCUGACAGCUUUAGAGAUAGAGUUUUCUUCGGACAGAUUAC